AGGAAUCUGCCUGGUAGUGGGGGACAACGUUUCGAAAGGAACGCUAAUACCGCAUACGUCCUACGGGAGAAAGCAGGGGACCUUCGGGCCUUGCGCUAUCAGAUGAGCCUAGGUCGGAUUAGCUAGUUGGUGAGGUAAUGGCUCACCAAGGCGACGAUCCGUAACUGGUCUGAGAGGAUGAUCAGUCACACUGGAACUGAGACACGGUCCAG
rnacentral:rRNA from 1 species